CCAUAAUUCUACAAGGGUAUUUACCACUCGACUUGCUGAAUAUUGUUAUAUACUUAUUUAGUUAACUUUUAUAUUGGCCCACUCAUUGUCAGCUCUGUAUGGAUACAAACUCCUCGUACCAUUGUUCAGUGCAAAUUAAAAAUUGUUCACAUCGCCUCGGCAGUUUAUUAUAUGGCGCUGUGGUCUGUGGUCUGGCUCCGAAUCGAGAACCGUGUCCGGUUCUUUUAACUGCCCAAUCAUAAUUCACUAGCCAGCCAGACGAGUCUCCCAUGAAGCGAAAGGAUAAUCGUGAAAUGCGUGCGCGACCUCCCAAAAAAAAGUAGCAGGAUGCCCCUGCGUCUGGGGCAGCAACAAUAAACAAAAUGCCUCUGAAGUCAGCGUGCUGUUAAUGAGCAGCCUGAUGGGUGGAUGCAUGCGGUAGAGGCUGUUGUGCGGAGGGGGCUGGUAACCGUGGAGGGGCAGCCGCUGUUGACGUUAAUUGACCGCAACCAUUUUUUUGUUGCAGCGUGCAGUAAAUUUUAAUGAAAUUGUUGCCGUGCACUGCGAAAUGUUGUUGUUGUUGUGGUUGUUGCUGGGGCGUGGCCAGCGCAUUGCUGCAUCUGCAUCUGGAUCUGCAUCAGCUCAAAGUGCUGAUGACACGGCUGUCAGCGACACUUUGCGCCGCUUGUUGCAUAAAAACAUUUACAAAAUAAAAUAAAAGUGUAUAU